rnacentral:rRNA from 1 species
GACGAACGCUGGCGGCGUGCCUAACACAUGCAAGUCGAGCGGAGAUUGACUUCAACACAAAGUAUUUCAGCGAGCCAGGCGUGCAUGCAAAAACGACCUUGAGGAUAAGCAGGCUAAAGAUAAGAGGUUUUUGCAUUACGCGUCCUCAAGUGCCAAGACAGGCAGAAAGAGGCGGCGUGCUGGAGUAUUGCGUGUUGAAGUCAAUCUUAGCGGCGGACGGGUGAGUAACGCGUGAGCAAUCUGCCUCAUACAGGGGGAUAACAGUCGGAAACGACUGCUAAUACCGCAUAAGACCACAGAACCGCAUGGUACAGGGGUCAAAGGAGGAAUCCGGUAUGAGAUGAGCUCGCGUCCCAUUAGCUAGUUGGCGGGGUAACGGCCCACCAAGGCGACGAUGGGUAGCCGACCUGAGAGGGUGACCGGCCACACUGGGACUGAGACACGGCCCAGACUCCUACGGGAGGCAGCAGUGGGGAAUAUUGCG